CUCCUCCAUCCUUAUUCCUCAACUUUGGACAACAUCUCCUCCGCUCCAUCUCCUAGCUAUCUUUUUCUCUCUAUUUUUGCUCCGACUUCUUUUUUAUUUGUUAAUAUCGAUUUGUUGCCGUUUAUAAAUGAUUCUCAUCGUUUUUUUUUUGCAGUUUUCUAUGAAGGUUUAGUUGAACAUGGGGAAAUCAAGAGUUGCUACUCACAGAAAAACUGAUGCGAAGCUGGUUCAUGAGUUUCUCUGUCUUGAUUAUACUUAUCAUCAAUGAUGAAGAGUAAACGUGGAGAUGCGAGCAAGGAGGUUGUGAAGGAUCCGAACAAGCUUAAGAGGCCUGCAAGUGCCUUAUUCGUUGUCAUAUACGUUUCGUUUUUCCAAUGAUUUACUUUUUAAUUUUAUCUAGAGAGGAUUUUUUGGCUAAAAAUUUUUAAGAUUUAUUUUCCACUUUGUUUCGAUUUUUGGACCUCUUGGUGUUUCAAAGACACAAACCAACACACAACCCACAUAUUAAUAACAUUAUCACUCCUACCUGUUAAUUUUAUUAUUUUUUUCAGAUAAAAUUUGAGGCCAAAGUUGUUCGCUUUUUUAGUUUCUGCUGCUGCUCGGCUGCCUUCAGACUAUGUCGAAACACUGUCGUUCUGCAUGCAACCGAGCUUCUCAAUUUCUUAAUUUCUAAACAUUUGAGAUCUUCUUUGGUUCCUAUGCUAGCUUUGUGUGUCUCCAUCUCCAAAUAAUUUAGUUGAAAAUCACUAAUACGCAUGCAAAUUUGAAAGGGUUUUGAUCUUUCGAUGAGUUUAAAAUGUUUGUUGGUGGUUGGUUGUAUUGCUGUCAAAUAUUUGUUGGAUAGUUUGGAACGGAGAAGUUGGUUGAUUUAGAGAAACUGAAUACACAAGGAAUUUGGAAGAGUUUUUGGUCUUAUAUUGGUUUAAACUACUUUUUUGACAAUCAAGAGUACUGGAGGGAGCUUUUGGUGUUCCAUUGAACAAUUUUUGUCAUAUUUUAUCAAUGUAAAUGACACAAUAUUUCUUAACGUUUUUUGCAUGUAAAUAGCCCAAAGUUCCAUAACCUUUUGUAUGUAAGUACUGCUGUUGAUAUCACAAAAACUACCCAAGUGGAAUGUGUAAUAUUCUAUGUACAUAGAUAGCCAACACUUCUACAAUUUUAUGUGGAGUAUCAAUUAAAUAUAGCAAUGAAUUGUAUUAA